CACGUAGGGCGCAAGCGUUGUCCGGAAUUAUUGGGCGUAAAGAGCUCGUAGGCGGUCUGUUGCGUCUGCUGUGAAAACUCGGGGCUUAACCCCGAGCCUGCAGUGGAUACGGGCAGACUAGAGGUAGGUAGGGGGAGAAUGGAAUUCCCGGUGUAGCGGUGAAAUGCGCAGAUAUCGGGAGGAACACCGGUGGCGAAGGCGGUUCUCUGGGCCUUACCUGACGCUGAGGAGCGAAAGCGUGGGGAGCGAACAGG
rnacentral:rRNA from 1 species